rnacentral:rRNA from 1 species
UACAGAGGGUGCAAGCGUUAAUCGGAAUUACUGGGCGUAAAGGGCGCGUAGGCGGCCUGCUAAGUCGAACGUGAAAUCCCCGGGCUCAACCCGGGAACUGCGUCCGAUACUGGCAGGCUUGAAUCCGGGAGAGGGAUGCGGAAUUCCAGGUGUAGCGGUGAAAUGCGUAGAUAUCUGGAGGAACACCGGUGGCGAAGGCGGCAUCCUGGACCGGCAUUGACGCUGAGGCGCGAAAGCCAGGGGAGCAAACGGG